rnacentral:rRNA from 1 species
CAGUCGCCGCGGUAAAACGGAGGAUCCAAGCGUUAUCCGGAAUCAUUGGGUUUAAAGGGUCCGUAGGCGGUCUUGUAAGUCAGUGGUGAAAGCCCAUCGCUCAACGGUGGAACGGCCAUUGAUACUGCAGGACUUGAAUUAUUGGGAAGUAACUAGAAUAUGUAGUGUAGCGGUGAAAUGCUUAGAGAUUACAUGGAAUACCAAUUGCGAAGGCAGGUUACUACCAAUUGAUUGACGCUGAUGGACGAAAGCGUGGGUAGCGAACAGGAUUAGAGACCCCGGUAGUCCCUGUCUCUUAUAC